UCGAGAAUCUUCGGCAAUGGGCGAAAGCCUGACCGAGCGACGCCGCGUGCGGGAUGAAGGUCUUCGGAUUGUAAACCGCUGUCAGAGGGGAUGAAGUUAUGGUGGGUUCUCCCUCCAUAUUGACAGAGCCUCAGAGGAAGCACGGGCUGAGUAUGUGCCAGCAGCCGCGGUAAUACAUACUGUGCGAACGUUAUUCGGAUUCACUGGGCUUAAAGGGUGCGUAGGCGGCUUGUUAAGUAGGGUGUGAAAGCCCCCGGCUCAACCGGGGAACUGCAUUCUAAACUGGCUAGCUAGAGUGAGAUAGGGGUGUGUGGAACUGCCAGUGGAGCGGUGAAAUGUGUUGAUAUUGGCAGGAACGCCGGUGGCGAAAGCGACACACUGGGUCUCAACUGACGCUGAGGCACGAAAGCCAGGGGAGCAAACGGGAUUAGAUACCCCCGUAGUCCCUGAGCGGGCUGGCAAGGCGCAU
rnacentral:rRNA from 1 species